UGGGGAGGAACGGGUUGGCGAGGGCGGAUCUCUGGGCGGUACUGACGCUGAGGAGCGAAAGCAUGGGUAGCGAACAGGAUUAGAUACCCUGGUAGUCCAUGCCGUAAACGGUGGGCGCUAGGUGUGGGUUUCCUUCCACGGGAUCCGUGCCGUAGCUAACGCAUUAAGCGCCCCGCCUGGGGAGUACGGCCGCAAGGCUAAAACUCAAAGGAAUUGACGGGGGCCCGCACAAGCGGCGGAGCAUGUGGAUUAAUUCGAUGCAACGCGAAGAACCUUACCUGGGCUUGACAUGCACUGGAUGCGGCCAGAGAUGGUUGUUCCCUUUGUGGCUGGUGUGCAGGUGGUGCAUGGUUGUCGUCAGCUCGUGUCGUGAGAUGUUGGGUUAAGUCCCGCAACGAGCGCAACCCUUGUCUCGUGUUGCCAGCAUUUGGUUGGGGACUCGCGGGAGACUGCCGGGGUUAACUCGGAGGAAGGUGGGGAUGACGUCAAAUCAUCAUGCCCCUUAUGUCCAGGGCUUCACACAUGCUACAAUGGCUGGUACAGAGAGUUGCGAUACCGUGAGGUGGGGCUAAUCUCGUAAAGCCAGUCUCAGUUCGGAUUGGAGUCUGCAACUCGACUCCAUGAAGUCGGAGUCGCUAGUAAUCGCAGAUCAGCAAUGCUGCGGUGAAUACGUUCCCGGGCCUUGUACACACCGCCCGUCACGUCAUGAAAGUUGGUAACACCCGAAGCCGGUGGCCUAAACUCGUUAGGGAGCCGUCGAAGGUGGGAUUGGCGAUUGGGACGAAGUCGUAACAAGGGUAGCCAGUAGAG
rnacentral:rRNA from 1 species